CCGAGACCAUGCAGUCAGAUGAUGUGAGUUUUCUCCUGUUGCUCCCGGGAUUUAUGCAGUGCUUUUCGCACAUUCUUAGGGAUCAGAAACCGCAUACUCAGCUGAUUUGUUUGCCUCUUGCGGUUCCUGACGAGAGGUUUCUAGAACCCUGAUUAUCGAAAGUGUUUUUGCACGCGUGUCUACGCGAGAUCUCCAGCUCGCUGCGCACGUUCCGUUAAGAGGCCAGGACACUACCCCUCAGACCACGGGGUCAACUUAACCAUUUCCUAGUGCCUAGCGUUAAGGACUUUGUGCCAUGCUAUCAGCUGUAUUGUUCCUGGGACUUGGGAGGGCGGGAGAAAAAGGUUUAUGGCGAAGUUUAGACUCCAAAUUUAGGGAUCCUGCUCAUCCCGGUGCAAGUUACUUUUCAGUCUGCUUUUC
rnacentral:lncRNA from 1 species